CCUGCUGGGCAGUGAACGCUGUCCGCGACUUGCGGCGUCUCCGGACACCAGCGCCAGGACCUGGCGGCGCCUCUGGGGCGCCUCUGCCUGCACGGAUGGAACGGAAAUGUCAGCCUCCAGUUUUGGAGGAGCUGUGGUCUGGGUGGAAAAGCUAGGAUCACAGGGCUCAAGCAGGUGUGGGGGAGAACCAGCACCACGAUCCCUAUUCACCGGGUCAGGCCAGGGAUUCGAAGAGCAGCAGCCUCUGGAAGAGGCGUUGUACCUUCAGAAGGCUGCAGAGCGCGCGGGUCACGGCCCAGGAACGUUUUACUCGUCAGCUCCUCCAGCGCGUACAGUGGCGACGCGGGAUCAGGACUGGCCUCGGGAAGCUGUGGCGCAGAAGGUGCUCGGGGAACCAUGCUCGGGCCUAGGAUGUCUGCGAUGCUGAAGGGUGUCCGGCGUUGGCGUCCAGAGUUCAUGGCAAGCCGGGUUGUAACAGUCCCGCCUCCCGCUGCUCUUGGCUCCACAACCUCCUCGGCCCCCAGUGCUCAGCUUCCGAUCUGGGCCCCCUGCCUCGGAUCCGCCCCCUAGAGCUGGGUUGGAGUCCCAUGUCCCCUCCUUCUGCACCCCCACCUCCCUCCAAGGGCCGCGGUGAGUCUGGAGCCCGUAGGUGUCCUGGCAACCUUAGUUCUUCUGUAUCUUGGAGAGAAGCCGGUGGCUUCUGGCUUUGAGGUAUAGCUCUGUGCACAUUCAAACUGGGCUUUCUUUACUGGAUUCUGCUGGCUGCUUGGCUCCCCGCAUACGCUCUGGCUCAUAAACUCCUGGGCAAUAAAAUUGCUUUCCCUGGCCCCAAGGGCUGGGGAUUGCAGAGUACUUAGAAACAGGA